rnacentral:rRNA from 1 species
ACUCCUACGGGAGGCAGCAGUGGGGAAUAUUGCACAAUGGGCGCAAGCCUGAUGCAGCAACGCCGCGUGAGGGACGACGGCCUUCGGGUUGUAAACCUCUUUUAGUAGGGAAGAAGCGAAAGUGACGGUACCUGCAGAAAAAGCACCGGCUAACUACGUGCCAGCAGCCGCGGUAAUACGUAGGGUGCAAGCGUUAUCCGGAAUUAUUGGGCGUAAAGAGCUCGUAGGCGGUUUGUCGCGUCUGCUGUGAAAACUGGAGGCUCAACCUCCAGCCUGCAGUGGGUACGGGCAGACUAGAGUGCGGUAGGGGAGAUUGGAAUUCCUGGUGUAGCGGUGGAAUGCGCAGAUAUCAGGAGGAACACCGAUGGCGAAGGCAGAUCUCUGGGCCGUAACUGACGCUGAGGAGCGAAAGCAUGGGGAGCGAACAGGAUUAGAUACCCUGGUAGUCCAUGCCGUAAACGUUGGGAACUAGAUGUAGGGUCCAUUCCACGGACUCUGUGUCGCAGCUAACGCAUUAAGUUCCCCGCCUGGGGAGUACGGCCGCAAGGCUAAAACUCAAAGGAAUUGACGGGGGCCCGCACAAGCGGCGGAGCAUGCGGAUUAAUUCGAUGCAACGCGAAGAACCUUACCAAGGCUUGACAUAUACCGGAAAAGUUCAGAAAUGUUCUCCCCGCAAGGUCGGUAUACAGGUGGUGCAUGGUUGUCGUCAGCUCGUGUCGUGAGAUGUUGGGUUAAGUCCCGCAACGAGCGCAACCCUCGUUCUAUGUUGCCAGCACGUAAUGGUGGGAACUCAUAGGAGACUGCCGGGGUCAACUCGGA